CAUCUUGUAUGUGAUCGUUUCUGUGACUGGGGUUGUUGUCCUGUUGGCUGUUUUUCUACCGCUCCUGUACAAGUGGAAGAAAAGAAGAAGCUCUAAUCAUUUGAACAGCAGAGGCCAUGGAACCGACACAAAUAUGGAGUCUGUCAUCUAUGAGAAUUCUGCUCCAUUCUCCACAUUGGAAGAGUCUGGCUACGAAAACGUCAAUCCAUCCUCCACCUACGAGACCCUCAAUCCAACCACGAUGGCUCAUGACCAGACGUACUCCACAAUCGGACAGCAAAUAUAAUACUUGUUUUUGUAUUUGGAUAAAUCAUACCACAAAUAAAUAGUUGUGGUUUAUUUUGAGGACUUCUUCUUUCUUUAAUAUCUAAAACAUCCUUAUCUAUUGCGUGUAUCCUUUUACAUUUCAGUUUAUAUAUUUUUCAGAUUUACUUUACUUUAUUUUUUGUAUUGUUUCUGUUAUUGAUCUGUGUUAACUGGCACAUGCAUCAUUGUUUUAAUGCUAUGUUUCUAUACCUACUGCAAAUGUAUACAUGGUAGCUACUGCUGUACUAUAUAUAAACUGGGAAACUAUCUUUGAGUCUUUGUGAGUGGAUGUUAAUGUCAUUGUUUUGAUCCAGAUAUAGUUAGGUCCAUAAAUAUUUUUACACUGACACAUGUGUUGUUAUUUUACCAAACCAUAUUCAAC